rnacentral:rRNA from 1 species
AACGGAGGGAGCAAGUGUUACUCGUAAGGACUGGGCGUAAAGGGUUCGUAGGUUGUUUGUAGUAAGUUAGGUGUUAAAUGGUAUGUCUCAAGCUUAUUAUAUGCAUCUAAAACUGACAAUGCUAGAGUUUGAUAGAGGGUAAGGGUACUUUUGAUGGAGAGGUAGAAUUCGCAGAUAUCAAUAGGGACCACCAACGGGCGAAGGCGCUUAUCUGGGUCAAACUGACGCUGAGGAACGAAAGCGCGGGGAGCAAACAGG